UACGGGGGGGGCAAGCGUUGUUCGGAAUUACUGGGCGUAAAGGGCGCGUAGGCGGCCGGAUAAGUCAAAGGUGAAAUCCCUCGGCUCAACUGAGGAACUGCCUUUGAUACUGUUUGGCUCGAGUCCGGGAGGGGGUAGCGGAAUUCCCAGUGUAGCGGUGAAAUGCGUAGAUAUUGGGAGGAACACCAGUGGCGAAGGCGGCUACCUGGACCGGAACUGACGCUGAUGCGCGAAAGCGUGGGGAGCAAACAGG
rnacentral:rRNA from 1 species